GCAAGUCGAACGCUUUGAUUUUCACCGGAGCUUGCUCCACCGAAAAUCAAAGAGUGGCGGACGGGUGAGUAACACGUGGGCAACCUGCCCAACAGAGGGGGAUAACACUUGGAAACAGGUGCUAAUACCGCAUAAUGUUGUUUUCCCGCAUGGGAGAAUAAUAAAAGACGCUUCGGUGUCACUGUUGGAUGGGCCCGCGCUGCAUUAGUUAGUUGGUGGGGUAAUGGCGCUACCAAGACCGUGAUGCAUGAGCCGACCUGAGAGGGUGAUCGGCCACACUGGGACUGAGACACGGCCCAGACUCCUACGGGAGGCAGCAGUAGGGAAUCUUCGGCAAUGGACGAAAGUCUGACCGAGCAACGCCGCGUGAGUGAAGAAGGUUUUCGGAUCGUAAAACUCUGUUGUUAGAGAAGCAAGUGGGAGAGUAACUGUUCCCACCUUGACGGUAUCUAACCAGAGAAGCCACGGCUAACUACGUGCGGCACCGCGGUAAGCGUAGCGGCAAGCGUUGUCGGAUUUAUGGGGUAAGCGAGCGCAGCGUUUCUUAAGCUGAUGUGAAAGCCCUCGGCUCACCGAGGAAGGUCAUUGGAAACUGGGGAACUUGAAGCAGAAGGAGGUGGAUUCCAUGUGUAGCGGUAAUGCGUAGAUAUAUGGAGGAACACCAGUGGCGAAGGCGACUCUCUGGUCUGUAAUUGACGCUGAGGCUCGAAAGCGUGGGGAGCAAACAGGAUUACAUACCCUGGUAGUCCACGCCGUAGACGAUGAGGGCUAACUGUUGGAGGGUUUCCGCCCUUCAGUGCUGCAGUUAACGCGAAUAAUC
rnacentral:rRNA from 1 species